ensembl:lncRNA
AUUCUAUGGUAAACCAUGUUUAUUAAUAGGUUUUAUAUUUUUAAUUUUGGAAACCACAAGAUGCUUGCAGAGUCUGUUCAGAGCAGAUGGUAGGUGCACAGGAAUGUAUAGGGAACUGGGGGGAAGCUAAGUUGGUCUCAGCCCUUUCAGCCUUGGGUCAAGCUAAAGUUGACCUGUCCUUUCAGCUUUGGGUCAUCUUGGCUAAUGAGGUUGAUCCAUCCGGACAACAGAACUGGGCAGUUGAUAACAUGCUGGGACGAAGAUUGAGGGCGGAAACCCGUUGUGACUCCAUUGUAAACAAAGAAAUUCCUAUACUUGUAUAAAGUGAGGCUGCAGCCCAAUGUUGGGCCAGUGACUCUGCAGACCCACUCAGGCUGUUGUCGUUGUUGUUUUUCUUCACGAUAAAGUCUUUUUCAAUUCUUGCUCCGGACCCCUCGAUUUCUUUUACUCUCUCUCUCUUAAAUUAGUCUAAGUGUUUUAAAUCUCGAUUAAUCUACGACAUAAUUUGGCGUCACGAACAGGAAGAAAUAGGGACUCUCCAGCUGCCGGGCCAGAGGACGGGACUCGAACGGAUCAUACGACCAGAGCUCAAGGGCUUAUUUUUCAACAAGAGAAAGACAGAGUUCCAAAGUUGGAGAAGGAGCCACCAAGGGGGGUGGAGCCAGGUGACCAAGUGUACCUCAGGAUAUUCAGGAGAAAGUGGGACGAGCCCAGAAGAGAAUGACCAUACAAAGUCGCCAACGCAACACCAACAGCCAUCCAAGUGGAAGGAAGUGCCACGUGGUAUCAUCUCAACCACUGCACAAAAGCCGCUCAACCUAAAGCCAGGGAUGAGUGUGAGGAGGAGGAGCCAGACGCAGACACACGUGGGGCUGACCAGCUGCCCCAGGACCAGAUCCAGUCGAGCCAAGAGAUACAACAGCAUGAUGAUGCUGAAAACGGGGAGCCUGUUUCUGAUCCUUUACGGGUUGUGCCAGAUUUCGCUGGCACAAGCAUAGACCCCGAGGAAGGAUGAAACCACGGAGACAACUCAGACCUGGAAGAGCCAGGAAUCAGGGGCUGGUACUGAAGGAAGCCUAAGAGAAACACAGGACAAUCCGGCCCCAACUCACUCAGGAAUAGUCAACAAGAAAGGGAAAAUAGUCUUAUAUGCUCAGAUACCACCGCGAGACCAAGUUAAUGAAUUUGUGUUUACUGUUAUGUCGGAUAACCAACCGUUAUGUGCAUUAACCUUCAGCCAGUCUGGCAUAGAGAAGUCGGGUGACUGGGAGAGGAUGCUCUAUGGGGAGAUAGAUUGGAGUGACACUAGAAAGGAGACCGGAAUGUGAGAAUCGGACAUCAGAAGGAGGUCAUAUUCUCUUAACUGGUGACCUCUCCAAUGGGAACCACAACCAUUUCAGACAGUGUGAACAAAUGGACAUUGGACUAAUGGGUUCCAGGGCAUGGUGGCUGCGAACGGCAGCAACUACGAUGCCCAAACCCCCCACGUUAUAUAGUAUACCGGUACAUGACGAUAAUCAGAGCUAUUCAAAUCUAUGCAAGCUUGUUGACAAUCUUAGUUUUUAAUUUCUAUUAUUUACUUAUUUUUUGAAAUGUCAUUUUUUGAGUUUCAUAUUUUUAUGUCAUAUAUUCUGAAAUGCUAAUUUUCAAUGCAUGCUGAAAAUACUGUGUUAUGUGUGAAUUCUAGUUAGACAUGUUAGACAUUUGAUAGAUCUUUUUUGCCUUAAUCAGGUUGAGAUUCCUGAACAUGUUUAAAGGUUUUUAAUGAUGAUCAAAUGUAGUGCAAAAUAUGACCUAAAUGACUGUUAUGUUUUUGUUGUGGGGGGACUCGGCUGUUAUCGUUGUUGUUUUUCUUCACGAUAAAGUCUUUUGUCAAUUCUUGCUCCGGACCCCUCG